rnacentral:tRNA from 1 species
CUGUAGCUCAAUUGGUAGAGUGCUAAAUUUGCAUGACAGAAGACCUGGGUUCAAACCCCAGCAG